UNGAAGACUGACUCUUUGCUGCUGCCCUUU
rnacentral:piRNA from 1 species